GACGAACGCUGGCGGUGUGCUUAACACAUGCAAGUGGUGCGACGAACCAGAGCUUGCUCUGGGGCAAAGCCGCGAACGGGUGAGUAACACGUGGGUAAUCUACCCCGAUGACCGGGACAACCCGAGGAAACUCGGGCUAAUACCGGAUGUGGUGCGGAGACAUAAGUCUCUUCACUAAAGGUAGCUUCGGCUUCCGCAUUGGGAGGGGCCCGCGGCCCAUUAGCUUGUCGGUGGGGUCAAGGCCUACCAAGGCAACGAUGGGUAGCUGGUCUGAGAGGACGAUCAGCCACACUGGGACUGAGACACGGCCCAGACUCCUACGGGAGGCAGCAGUGGGGAAUCUUGCGCAAUGCGCGAAAGCGUGACGCAGCAACACCGCGUGAGGGAAGAAGGCCUUAGGGUUGUAAACCUCUUUCAGAUGGGACGAAGGUUCUCCGGUGAAUAGCCGAGAGGAUUGACGGUACCGUCAGAAGAAGCUCCGGCUAACUACGUG
rnacentral:rRNA from 1 species